UACGAAGGGGGCUAGCGUUGUUCGGAAUUACUGGGCGUAAAGCGCGCGCAGGCGGUUUUUCAAGUCAGUGGUGAAAGCCCGGAGCUCAACUCCGGAACUGCCAUUGAAACUGUAAAACUUGAGGACGAGAGAGGUGAGUGGAAUUCCCAGUGUAGAGGUGAAAUUCGUAGAUAUUGGGAAGAACACCGGUGGCGAAGGCGGCAUCCUGGACCAAUAUUGACGCUGAGGAGCGAAAGCCAGGGGAGCAAACGGG
rnacentral:rRNA from 1 species